rnacentral:rRNA from 1 species
AGGAUGAACGCUGGCGGUCUGCUUAACACAUGCAAGUCGAACGGGCGUAGCAAUACGUUAGUGGCGGACGGGUGAGUAACGCGUGAGAAUCUACCUUCAGGACGGAGACAACAGUUGGAAACGACUGCUAACCCCCGAUGUACUGAAAAGGCAAAUAUUUAUAGCCUGAAGAAGAGCUCGCGUCCGAUUAGCUAGUUGGAGAGGUAAAAGCUCACCAAGGCGACGAUCGGUAGCUGGUCUGAGAGGACGAUCAGCCACACUGGGACUGAGACACGGCCCAGACUCCUACGGGAGGCAGCAGUGGGAAUUUUCCGCAAUGGGCGAAAGCCUGACGGAGCAAGACCGCGUGGGGAAGAAGGCUCUUGGGUUGUAAACCCCUUUUCUCUGGGAAGAAAGUUGUGAAAGCAGCCUGACGGUACCAGAGGAAUCAGCAUCGGCUAACUCCGUGCCAGCAGCCGC